AGUAUUGGCUCUCUCCGAGCUGUCUUGCCUAAAGAGAAUCCAUGGCAAGCAGACGGUGGGCUGCAAAGCCUCGAAGGCAUAGAGAGAAAUGUCUAUGCCUCCCGUGCUUGGAAAGGAGGGAAUAUGGAGCUUGG
rnacentral:ncRNA from 2 species